GGAGAGGUGCCAGAGCGGUUGAAUGGGGCGGUCUCGAAAACCGUUGUGGGGGCAACCUCACCCAGGGUUCAAAUCCCUGCCUCUCCGCCA
rnacentral:tRNA from 1 species